AAAAAAAAAAAAGCAGACUGUUAGCUGUUCACAGUUCAAACCCCGGCUCUACUUGCUAAAUGGUGACACGGUGAGAGAUCAAUGGAUGGCUGCAGGGCCGAGCUGACCUGGUAGUGGUGAUAGGCUGGCUGCCGGUACACAGGCUGAUGGGACUGAGGAAGCAUCGCUGGAGGAGCGGGCCGCUGGAGAAGAAACAUAUGGCAGAAACUAAUCACACAUUAACAGUGUCCCAGUUACUCAUGACUGUAUGACAGUGAGCCAGCUUGAAUAAACUCCAGGUACUCCAGCUCUUCAGAUUCCACCUCUGCAUGUCAAACUUGGGAACCCACCUGUGCGGCCCCCCCGCUGACGGGACAUCGGGCGACCGCUGAGCUGUGGGCCAAUGGCGGCACCGUGGAGGAACAGCCGGUGUUAAUCCAACCCAGCAACGGUUCAGCAGGCUGCAGUGGGAACCAGUGGAGGAGGGAAGGAGCGUGAAAUCCCCGACACCUGGUGGCUCUUUCUGUACAAGAGUCUGCAGCUGGUGUCCAAGGCCCACAGCCAGACGGCCAGCUGUGCUUCCUCGAUGGCUCCACUGGCAUACACUGAGGUUACAUAGGCUGAUACUGGCCUGCUUAAGGAGUUCAAGAAUUCAGUUGUGGUCAACUCAUUUAUCCAACCCCUUUAUGGAUAUGAUGCAUUUUGUUUGAAUUGAUUAUAAUAGUCUCAUUUACCAUUUAAUUUUGCUAAUUAACACCUUCAACCAAAAAACAAGAUCAAGGUUAAAUUUGGGCUUAUUGUCACUCUCUCCAAAGAAAAUGUCAAGCAUGGUAGAUAAAAAUGCAAUAAAUGUUGAAAAAAUGGAGCUCA